rnacentral:piRNA from 1 species
UCCCAUUUAUAGGUGGCAAAACUCCGAGGC